UACGGGGGGGGGCAAGCGUUGUUCGGAAUUACUGGGCGUAAAGGGCUCGUAGGCGGCCAACUAAGUCGGAUGUGAAAUCCCCAGGCUUAACCUGGGAACUGCAUCCGAUACUGGAUGGCUUGAAUCCGGGAGAGGGAUGCAGAAUUCCAGGUGUAGCGGUGAAAUGCGUAGAUAUCUGGAGGAACACCGGUGGCGAAGGCGGCAUCCUGGACCAACACUGACGCUGAGGAGCGAAAGCCAGGGGAGCAAACGGG
rnacentral:rRNA from 1 species